rnacentral:rRNA from 1 species
CCUAAAAGCCAUCCCAGUUCGGAUUGCAGGCUGCAACCCGCCUGUAUGAAGUUGGAAUCGCUAGUAAUCGCGGAUCAGCAUGCCGCGGUGAAUACGUUCCCGGGCCUUGUACACACCGCCCGUCACACCAUGAGAGUCGGGAACACCCGAAGUCCGUAGCCUAACCGCAAGGGGGGCGCGGCCGAAGGUGGGUUCGAUAAUUGGGGUGAAGUCGUAACAAGGUACC